GAGCCUACGGGAAGCAGCAGUUGGGAAUAUUGGACAAUGGAGGAAACUCUGAUCCAGUGACGCCGCGUGAAGGAAGAAGGUCUUCGGAUUGUAAACUUAUUUUAUCAGGGAAGAAAAAAAUGACUGUACCUGAAGAAGAAGCACCGGCUAACUACGUGCCAGCAGCCGCGGUAAUACGUAGGGUGCAAGCGUUAUCCGGAUUUACUGGGUGUAAAGGGAGCGUAGACGGCGAUGCAAGUCUGAAGUGAAAGGCGGGGGCCCAACCCCCGGACUGCUUUGGAAACUGUAUGGCUGGAGUGCAGGAG
rnacentral:rRNA from 1 species